UUUAAUGCUCCCCAGGUGAUUUUCAUCAGUAACUAGUGCUGAGAGCAAUUGGACUAGAAAAAAUAAUUUCUUUUAAAGAUAGGAGUGGGUUCAGCAUGUGAAAUGCUAAAGGAUGGAGCCACAGAGCAGCAACAGUUGAAAAUACAGAGGCAGAGGUGGUGGUGACUGAUGUGGAAGAUCCUGGGAUGGAGGAGACUCGGGUUUGAUCUCUGAUCUGAGAAGAUCCCACAUGCCUUGAGCAACUAAGCCCUUGCGCCACAACUACUACGCCCGUGCUCCGCAACCAGAGGAGCCACCUCAAAGAGCAGCCGGUGCACCAGCAGCCCUCACUCGCUUGUUGGUGACACAUGCUUGCUCACACGUGGCCUGAGAGACCAGCAGAGAAAAAGUCUGCAAGCCAGAUUCCCGGCCGGAAGAUGGUGUGGUGAAAGGGACACCCUGCCCUACCUUUUGCUCCAUCCAACUUUCACUGCAGUGCCAGGGAGCAUCCACACACGUUUGCCUUGACUACAAAAAGAAUGAAGAGACAGAGCCAAAGCAAAAACAACACCGAGUUC